UACAGAGGAUGCAAGCGUUAUCCGGAAUGAUUGGGCGUAAAGCGUCUGUAGGUGGCUUUUUAAGUCCGCCGUCAAAUCCCAGGGCUCAACUCUGGACAGGCGGUGGAAACUACCAAGCUGGAGUACGGUAGGGGAGACUGGAAUUCCUGGUGUAGCGGUGAAAUGCGCAGAUAUCAGGAGGAACACCAAUUGCGAAGGCAGCUCGCUGGGACGUUACUGACGCUGAGACGCGAAAGCGUGGGGAGCAAACAGG
rnacentral:rRNA from 1 species